rnacentral:tRNA from 1 species
UGGGAUGUGGCUUAGUAGUAGAGUGCUUACUUAGUAUGUGAGAGGCCCUGGGUUUGAUCCCUAGUACCACAG